UAUAAAGAGGUUCCUAGCUGAUACCCUCUAUAAAAAACUAGACACAU
rnacentral:ncRNA from 23 species